AAGCUUAGGUUAAACAAACCAAGGACCUUCAAAGCCCUAAACAUGAGCACCACCGCCCUCCUAGCUU
rnacentral:tRNA from 1 species